AGAUUGCUAGACCUUCUAAUUGCUUAAUUUUGCUCUGAAAUAGUUAACGUAUAAGUACCUGAAGUGCUGCUCUUAUAACUAGAGCAUGAAAAUAAGUGGGGGUUCUUUAAGUGAGUAAGCAAAAAGAAGGUUAAUGUUGCACAAAACUGUAAGCUGUUUCCAGUGCUUGAAGAUGUUAGUGAUGUGGGUAGAAGAACUUGGAAACCUGGAGAGGAAAAUGUAGAGGGUAUUUCUCUGGAACUCACUGUCUUCCGUUUCGUUGGAGUCCUGACUCCUAAGGAAAGGACUGCAAUAAGUCUGUAACAAAGAUUUUUAUGGAAUGUGGAUGUGAAAGACACCGUGUCAGUGGCAAGAGUCCAGAAGUCUCUGAAAGAGGGAGCUAUAUCCAGAAUUCUUUGAACAGGAAAUACUGGACUCAGGUAUUUAAGGCUACAUGUACUUUCAUGAACAUGAGAAUGCCAAAAGGAGUGAACCAAAGACAUAAGGUCUGCGAAAACCUGUUUCCAGAGUAUAAACUGCAGACCAUUGCAGUUAUGGUGCCUGAAUACAAUCCAGUGGGAAGCAGUCCAGAGUGGCUGGACAUUCAGUGUUGUUACUCGUUUCACAAAGAAUCCCAACAUAGUAAUAGUAAUGUUUCUUCAGUGAUGGGAUUGCUAAACUCCCCCUCCUGUGAAAGAGACACACAGUGUAUGAAGUGGAACACUGUGUCCUAUUCAUUACAGCACUGUGACUUUCCACCAGUACUUCAAAGCCAGACAUGAGAAGAGGCAUGUAAAGAGCAAAAAUUAAUGAAGCGCAGCACACUGCAGAUUAAUAAUAUAUGACUAAGAAGAAAAGCAAAACUAUAAAUCAGGAAACCAUUUACCCGAUGCUCAAGUGCAACGGUUGUGCAUGUGGUUUGUUACAAUACUCCCACUAGGUACAGCUCAUCUAAUUCUGCCUUUGAAAUGCUCUAAGAAGAAAGAAUGGAUUGUAGGCUGACCUUGCAUUGUAUCCGGAGAGAAUGAAAAAUGAAAUCUCGUAUGAAAUGGUAUUUUGACCUGGGGAAAUCAA
ensembl:lncRNA